GAUCCUAGCGGGUCACAGUCAUAAACCUGUCUCUAGGGAACGCUACAGAGAACAGGGUCUCUACAGCCUCUUCUAUCAUUGCACAGCGAGGGAAUCUGGGAACCCUCUCCCCACAGUCUUCAGACAUACUUGAGAACUCAUGGCUGAUGGCUAGGGCCAGCCUCUGCUGCCCCUCAGCUGGGUCACCUGGCUGAAGACCGAACUCUCUGGACCCAGUUUCCCUAGAUAGACGCUGUCACUGGUCCUGCCAGUCACAGGUCUCAGCUUCCUCAUCUCCAAGUCGAGUGUGUGAGGCUCGGGCAGGCCUUUCCUGAUGUCCCCUGGGCUGCAACAGGUUUGGGACAGCCUCAGAGGUGUGAUGUGGGACAUCACAGCCUAGGACAUCAGGCUCUGAGGAAGGAUGGCAACAGAGAGGUGGGAAGUCACCUGUUUGGGAAUCAGGAAAAGCUUCCUGAAGGAGCCCGGCUUGCAGAGACAUUUGUAAGACUUGGGUGUGUUCUGACAGAUGGCAUCUAUGUGGCAGUCAUCUGUGCCCUCUGAGCACUCAUCCACAUCCACGGCUCCUGCGGAGGAGGGGAAAGUCCAGGCUCCUGUUGCUCCGCGAAGUCCAGGUCCUCGGAUGACAGGCCCAGCAGGGCGAGAGGACCAUAGCUUUGCAGUCUCCCUAGCCCAGAUCCUCCCCCCAGCUCGGAGUCUACACCUGACCCCUAGGCCUUGAGGCCUGGCGGGCACUCAAUGGCCUCUCUCAGCUCGGGAGGCAGGACGCUGAAAAAGUUCAGCAAACCCCAAGGCCCAUCUCCUUGACAACCACCAAUAAGAACGCCUGUUUUCUCCUGCUCUCCAGAUUCAAA